rnacentral:rRNA from 1 species
GGCGAACGCUGGCGGCGUGCUUAACACAUGCAAGUCGAACGGACAGAAGCGAGAGCUUGCUUUUGCUGAAGUUAGUGGCGGACGGGUGAGUAACGCGUGGGCAACCUGCCCUUAAGAGGGGGAUAACACCGCGAAAGUGGUGCUAAUACCACAUGAAACUAUUUGAUUGCAUAAUCAGAUAGUCAAAGGAGUAAUCCGCUCAAGGAUGGACCCGCGUCUGAUUAGCUAGUUGGUGGGGUAAUGGCCUACCAAGGCGACGAUCAGUAGCCGGCCUGAGAGGGUGACCGGCCACACUGGGACUGAGACACGGCCCAGACUCCUACGGGAGGCAGCAGUGGGGAAUCUUCCGCAAUGGACGAAAGUCUGACGGAGCAACGCCGCGUGAGUGAUGAAGGCCUUCGGGUUGUAAAACUCUGUCUUUAGGGAAGAAGAAAGUGACGGUACCUAAGGAGGAAGCCCCGGCUAACUACGUGCCAGCCGCCGCGGUAAUAC